rnacentral:rRNA from 1 species
GAUGAACGCUGGCGGCGUGCCUAAUACAUGCAAGUCGAGCGAACGGACGAGAAGCUUGCUUCUCUGAUGUUAGCGGCGGACGGGUGAGUAACACGUGGAUAACCUACCUAUAAGACUGGGAUAACUUCGGGAAACCGGAGCUAAUACCGGAUAAUAUUUUGAACCGCUUGGUUCAAAAGUGAAAGACGGUCUUGCUGUCACUUAUAGAUGGAUCCGCGCUGCAUUAGCUAGUUGGUAAGGUAACGGCUUACCAAGGCAACGAUGCAUAGCCGACCUGAGAGGGUGAUCGGCCACACUGGAACUGAGACACGGUCCAGACUCCUACGGGAGGCAGCAGUAGGGAAUCUUCCGCAAUGGGCGAAAGCCUGACGGAGCAACGCCGCGUGAGUGAUGAAGGUCUUCGGAUCGUAAAACUCUGUUAUUAGGGAAGAACAUAUGUGUAAGUAACUGUGCACAACUUGACGGUACCUAAUCAGAAAGCCACGGCUAACUACGUG